GACGGAGGGUGCUAGCGUUGUUCGGAUUUACUGGGCGUAAAGGGCGCGUAGGCGGCUUCGGUAGUCGGGUGUGAAAGCCCGGGGCUCAACCCCGGAACUGCACCCGAUACUCCGUGGCUCGAGACCGGGAGAGGAGGGUGGAAUACCCAGUGUAGAGGUGAAAUUCGUAGAUAUUGGGUAGAACACCAGUGGCGAAGGCGGCUCUCUGGUCCGAUACUGAUGCUGAGGUGCGAAAGCGUGGGGAGCAAACAGG
rnacentral:rRNA from 1 species